UCUUAUAGAUAUUAUUAUAAGUAAAACCUGCUCAAUGAACAAUUAAAUAGCCGCAGUYUAUCUGUGCUAAGGUAGCAUAAUCAUUUGUUUUAUAAUUUAAAACUAGUAUGAAUGGUAUUACAUUUAAAUUCUGUCUCAAUUUAUAUUAUAUAAAAUUAUCCUAAAUAUUAAAAGAUAUUUAUAUAAUAAAAAGACGACAAGACCCUAUCAAACUUACACUAAAGUUAAGCUGGGGAAGCUAUUAAAUAAAAAUUUUAAAUUUAGAUUUUGAAAAAAUCAAACCCACUAUAUAGUGAUAAUAUGAUUAAGUUACUGUAGGGAUAACAGCGCAAUAAAUUUUUAAAGUCCUUAUUUAAAAAUAAGAUUACGACCUCGAUGUUGAAUUUUUAUCCUUAUAAAUGCAACCAAUUAUAUAGAAGGUCUGUUCGACCUAUAACCAAGUACA
rnacentral:rRNA from 1 species